UUUACCACUUAGAAAGCCGAAGCCGCUUUGAAGUAUUACAAGGGGUACAGAGGAAACACUGACGAAGAAAAAAGAGCUCUGUACAGGGAAUUCGAUAGACUAAAAUCAAUUGCAACCGGGCGAAAAACGGAUGAAAAGCUUCAAGUAUCAGAUUUCUUUAAUCGAACGGCAUUGAAAGGACUUGGAAUUGGUUCUGCGUUGUGUACAAUAGUUCAGUUCUCGCCAAGUUUGAUCAUUAUUUCUUAUUCAUUGAUGAUAUUCGAGAAAUCUGGAACAACGAUCGAUCCAUAUGUAUCCUCAAUUAUAUCGGCGGUGGCACUUAUCUUUGGUUCAUUAAUCACUACUUAUUUGGCUGAUAAACUUGGACGAAAAUUGUUGAAUUUAAUAUCGUUGAUAGGCUCUGCGGUCGGGUUAUUCGCAAUUUCAUUGUAUUAUUAUUUGCAUAUAAACGGCUGUGACUUAUCAGCAUUUGCAUGGGUGCCUGUGACGAGCUUAUCUUUUGUGAUUUUUAUAUCAUCAGCUGGAAUUACACCGCUAUGCAUCAUAUGCGCUGUGGAAUAUCUCCCACCAAAGAUUCGAACAAUGGGAUCAGCAUUGAUCAGUGUGGUACACAGUGCAGCUUCUUUUAUAACAGUAAAAUUAUUUCCCAUUUUAUUGGAGAUUGUCGCUUUGCACGGUUGUAUGGUUAUUUUGGGCAUUGGCUGCAUCAUUGGAUCUUUAUUCAUAAUUUUUGCUAUGGAAGAAACUGCCGGUCAAUCCCUUGAUGAUGUUGACACGAAUGAAAAAAUGAAAAUGGAACCAAUUCACGGAGAACCGCUUUUGAAAGCAGCAAAAUAGAUUGUAAAACAAAAAUAAAACGCAUUCAAAAUAGACUCUGGGAAGAAUUUUCAUUUACUUGAA